rnacentral:rRNA from 1 species
AGAGGCCCAAGUUGACAGGUGCCGGCGUAAAGAGUGGUUAAGGGAAACCAUCCAACUAAAGCCGAACACCUUCAUAGCUGUUAUACGCUUCCGAAGGCAUGAAGCCCCACCACGAAAGUGGCUUUACUUCCCCCGACUCCACGAAAGCUGCGGAACAAACUGGGAUUAGAUACCCCACUAUG